CCCGCCACCAUGCCUUUCCUGCACCAGUGACUGGCAUGUUCCAGUGGUAGGCUGAGAGCAACCCCAGCUUAGGAAGCAGGGCUCUUCCCUUUGGCCAUGGAGAGUUCUGUGCCGAAAAGUUGGAAACACAA